GGGGUUGUAACUCAGAGGUAGAGCACUUAUCUAGCACGGAAGAGGCACUGGGUUUAAUCCUCAGCACCACA
rnacentral:tRNA from 1 species